rnacentral:rRNA from 1 species
CGCGGCCUAUCAGCUUGUUGGUGGGGUAACGGCCUACCAAGGCGAAGACGGGUAGCUGGCGUGAGAGCGUGGUCAGCCACACUGGGACUGAGACACGGCCCAGACUCCUACGGGAGGCAGCAGUGGGGAAUAUUGCGCAAUGGGCGAAAGCCUGACGCAGCGACGCCGCGUGGGGGAGGAAGGCCUUCGGGUUGUAAACCCCUGUCAGAUGGGACGAACCACAGAUCGGCGAAUAGGCGAUUUGUCUGACGGUACCAUCAGAGGAAGCUCCGGCUAACUCCGUGCCAGCAGCCGCGGUAAUACGUAGGGGGCGAGCGUUGUCCGGAUUUAUUGGGCGUAAAGAGCUCGUAGGCGGCUCAACAAGUCGGCCGUGAAAGCCCGAGGCUUAACCUCGGGACGCCGGUCGAAACUGUUGUGGCUAGGGUCCGGUAGAGGAGAGUGGAAUUCCCGGUGUAGCGGUGAAAUGCGCAGAUAUCGGGAGGAACACCAGUAGCGAAGGCGGCUCUCUGGGCCGGCACCGACGCUGAGGAGCGAAAGCUAGGGGAGCAAACAGGAUUAGAUACCCUGGUAGUCCUAGCCGUAAACGAUGGGUACUAGGUGUGGCGGAUUCAUUGACAUCUGCCGUGCCGAAGCUAACGCAUUAAGUACCCCGCCUGGGGAGUACGG